rnacentral:rRNA from 1 species
UACGUAGGGACCGAGCGUUGUCCGGAUUUAUUGGGCGUAAAGAGCUCGUAGGCGGCUAUUCGCGUCGGGUGUGAAAGCUCGGGGCUCAACCCUGAGAGGCCAUUCGAUACGGGAUAGCUAGAGGCAGGUAGGGGAAAGUGGAAUUCCUGGUGUAGCGGUGAAAUGCGCAGAUAUCAGGAGGAACACCGGUGGCGAAGGCGGCUUUCUGGGCCUUGCCUGACGCUGAGGAGCGAAAGCUGGGGGAGCGAACAGG